GGCCAAGAGCCAGUAUGGUGUAAUGGCUUGGACCUUGGAACUGGAGACCAGGGUUCAAAUCCCUGCUUGGCCA